rnacentral:rRNA from 1 species
UACAGAGGUCUCAAGCGUUGUUCGGAUUCAUUGGGCGUAAAGAGCGCGCAGGCGGCUUGGUAAGUCGGAUGUGAAAUCCCCGAGGCUCAACCUCGGGUCUGCAUCCGAUACUGCCCGGCUAGAGGUAGGUAGGGGAGAUCGGAAUUCCUGGUGUGAGCGGUGAAAUGACGCAGAUAUCAGGAGGAACACCGGUGGCGAAGGCGGAUCUCUGGGCCUUACCUGACGCUCAGGCGCGAAAGCUAGGGGAGCGAACUGG